AAUGAAAUAGUCCAAAGUAAGGAACUGUACGAACUAACCGUGUAUAUAGAAAUGUUAAUUUCAGAUUUAUGCAAGUUGAAGAUUUGUAUUACAACUCGAGUAAGUUAAUUAUUUGUCAGCCUUAGUUUUCUUAUUUUUACAGGGAAGAUUAUACAAGUUGAGUAUUUCCAAUUCAAAAUCCAAAAUAUCCCCAAACCUGAAACUUCCUGAACUCCAACAUGAUGCCCCAAGUUGAAAGUUCCACACUUGACCUCAUGUGGUAGGUUGUAGUCAGAAUGCUUGACCUCAUGUAGUAGGUUGUAGUCAAAAUGCCGGCACACUAAAAAUAUAGUAUUAAAAUUACCUUCAUACUGUGUAGAAAGACCUGAUAAGAACUAGUUUUAGGAAGACUGAAUAACUACAGAGUGGUUUGGUGAAGGAAGCAGAGAUGGGUAAUGGAAAGACUGUUUUUGUUUCUCCAUUUGUUCAUUCAGUUUUUCAAAAAACGUUUGUUGGGUUGGAGAUGUAACUCAGUGGUAGAGUACUUACCUGGCAUGCAUGAGACUCUAGGUACCAUCUCCAACACUGAAAAAAUAUUUACUUUUGCAUACGGGGCGCCUGGCUUGUCUCACCCUAAUCAUGGCCCUAUGUGUGAAACAAUUGUGAUUGUAAACUUUCUUUUAUAAUUACUUUGUAUUUUUGUCAACCAAAUCUUACAUGUAAUUGUAAAAAACAGUAGUACUGUAAGGCUUUUAAAGGAAACAGUGGUCUCCUGAGCCUGUUUCAUCUCAUCUAACAUAGCCACAUUUUCUUUCCUAUUUCUAUCUGUGGAAGUAACCAUGUUCAUAGUUCCUUUAGCUUUUCUCCACUGAGAUUUAGCACCUUGUUUCUAAAUGUGAUGCUUUUAAUGGUAGUUCUUGGUUUAUUAUAUUUAAGCAUUAGUUCAUUUAGACUUCAUUGAGUUAAAUUUGAGUUAAAACUAUGGAGAAGCCAUACUUUUUUUGGGGGGGUGGUGGUUACUGGCUCUUUUUUAAAAAAUACAUAUUUUUUUGUAGAUGUUGAUGGACCUUUAUUUUAUUCAUUUAUUUAUAUGAGGUUGCUCAGAAUCAAACUCAGUGCCUC
rnacentral:lncRNA from 1 species